AUCAUUGUGCAGUAUUCAGGCAAAAACAUUGUCAGCAAUUUGACUGUGACCUAAAGAUUGGUUCGACGAAAAAGAUCGACGCGUGUGAAGUUUGUGUGGGUGAUGCGAAUCAUGUUUACAACCACUUUAUCAUUUGGAGACGGCACCAAUGUCACUGUGUUUAGUUAGCUGCGGAAAAGAUUAGAAGCUUGUUCCAUGGCGAAAUCAAACGUUCAAUUUUAUGUAAUGACAGCAACACCACCGGUUCAAAUAAAUACAGUGAUUCUGUUAUGAAUUAUAACUGCGAAAAAUAUAAACCAGACUUUUUUGACAAUCGAAUGAUAUUGUGGAUAUCAAAAUAAUGCACCAACUCUUGGAGAGAUGGAAUCACUGGGCAAUUUGAAAAUACAGAUGAAAAGCAAUUUAUUAUACGGUCCUGAAUGUUACUCAAAGCAAAGAAUUUUUGUAUGGGAAAUAAUGAUUGAGAUGUGACGAGUAUCAAACCCAAAACCAGCUUUGUAUUCUCCAUAUCAAGAAACAAUGUUGCACUUCAACACAUUUUGGAAAAGCGUGAAAUGUUAUAAUCAUUUGUGUCUUAAUGUAAAAUAAUAAAUACAAUAAAAACUGAUUUUUAAAGCCA